UGAUGGCACCCUGGGCCCGUUCACUGUCAGCACCCAGCUUCUUAACACCCAGUUAGCUGUGGGCUAGCACUGGGUGCAGUUCUAGGCUUCCUACUGCCAAUGGCUAUAUUAAAUGGGGCUAUGGGAAGCUGCAUGAAAUGCUUUUACCUACAGAGAUGUCAGCAAGUGCACUACCCACAUUUCAAGCUUUAUCUUUGUAAAAAAAAAAUAAAAAUCCAACCCCUUCAGGCUGUGAGAUGGGGAGUUCUGGAGAGCAGAGAAAGGCAAGGAAAGCCAGUAACAUUACUGCUGUCAGAGCAGUGCACAGGGAAAAGGUUAGCAUGAAUGAUCUCUCCCUCGUGUCUUAUAAAUUGCCUGCUUUCAAUUCUAGCUUUCGAUCAGCUGCAGGUAGGAAAGGAUUCGUUUUCACUUCUUCAAACAGCUGCUUAGGAGUUUUAAUUACCUCUGACACAUUAAGAGAAUCCUGAAUCAAAUCACUUGGCAUGGUGUGUGUGGGCUAAGUUUUGCUUGUUUAAAACUAUGUAUUGUGUUUAGAUUUAUCUAUAUAAACAGGAUAUUACAGAGGCAAAUGUGGUAAUGCUCAGUGAGCACUUCCUGCUUAAUCCAUUUUAGCAUUUGCAUGCUCUCAGUUGGUUUCUACAGUAAUUACAUUUCCAUUUACUUCAAUUCAUGACUUGAUCUUCCAUUUUCAGAUUUUUCUUUGUUCCGUUAUAUGUGCGCAUGCAUAUUCCUGCUCAUGUUUCUUGCAAUACACAAUAAGAGGCAAAACCCUAAUGCCAGAAGGAAAGGAAGGAGGAUUUCUGCACGGUGAAAUUUCCACAAGAGGCUGGCAUUCGGGGAAGGAUCCAGGUGCCUGAAUGUACAACAUGUUGCUUUGGACUCUCCUGCCCCAUGGUAUCUGAAAUGUCCCCAAAAGGGAUGGAAGACGUGACAGAAGACCUAUGGGACACCCAGGACCUCGUGGGACCACGGCCCCAAGGCUUGCUUAAUGGAGCACAGUGCUCAUCAUGCUGUCAUGGUAAUUAUUCCUGAUGCUGAACAGAACCAGGGAUGAUGAACACCUCCUGUCUUUCUUCUCUCAGGGAUUUCAAGGAGCAAUGAACAGUGCCGGUGAUGCCAGCAAGGCGGGUGCCGAAGAGGAAAUGUGCAAAAUGAAAGCAAAAAAAUAAACAAAAUGUCAAACUAAAAUAGCAGCGGUCUAGGAAAUGGAUCCAUUGAGCAGUUUAUCUGUGAGUCAGAUCAGAAUGUACCAAGCCCUGGUGCCUUUCCCACUGCUUCCCCUUAGAGCUGAUGAAUGCAAAAAUAAUUCUGUAAAUACAAUUAUUUGCAAAUAUGUCUUGGAGGAACUCUUUUUCCUCAAUGAAACACAAACAAAAUUCAACAGCAAUUACGCAGGAAGUGAGCAUACAACUCAACUGAUUGAAUUACUCUGCUUUGCAAAUCCUUCUCAGCGUACAUUCCUGAGGAACAAACCCAUUUCUCACAUCCUGAAGAGGGCCUGGCUGCAAGAGGAACUUGCAGCACGCAGCCCCUGUGCUGCUUCCUUGUCACUGCCCCGGUGUGACCCAGACUCGUAUGUGAUUUGCCACCGUUCCCGGUGAUGAACCUAAAGAUGAUGCUCAGACUGUGAAGGCAGCGCCUGUGCUCAGUUAUGGGGCUUCUCCCAUUGCUGGCUUCUCUAUGGGCUUUUAUUUGUGCAGUCCUGGAGCCAGGCAAUUUCUUAUUUGGGGUUCACCAAAUAAUGUGGCCCCAGGAGAGGCAGGGGCCAGCACAGUGCUGGUAGCGAGGAGCAGCUGGGGACUGGCCAGCUCCCCUCUGCCUGGGAAAAUGAGGAGGGAAAAGAAAUCACAUAAGGAAAGCUGGGUUUAUUAUCAGGCAGCGAUGGCAUCAGUCUGAUUAAUCUGUCUGAUAACAGUCUGCCCUAGUAGCAGCUCAGCUGUGAGCAGGGAGCAGGCAUGUGCAAGGCAGAGA